AUUGAACGCUGGCGGAAUGCUUUACACAUGCAAGUCGAACGGCAGCACGGGAGCUUGCUCCUGGUGGCGAGUGGCGAACGGGUGAGUAACAUAUCGGAACGUACCCCGUCGUGGGGGAUAACUCUCCGAAAGGAGUGCUAAUACCGCAUACGACCUGAGGUGAAAGCGGGGGACCUGCAAGGGCCUCGCGCGAUGGGAGCGGCCGAUAUCGGAUUAGCUAGUUGGUGAGGUAAAGGCUCACCAAGGCGACGAUCCGUAGCGGGUCUUAGAGGACGACCCGCCACACUGGAACUGAGACACGGUCCAGACUCCUACGGGAGGCAGCAUGGGGAAUUUUGGGACAAUGGGGGAAACCCUGGAUCCAGCCAUUCCGCGUGAGUGAAGAAGGCCUC
rnacentral:rRNA from 1 species